GCCUAUGGACACUUCACCCUGAGAGUGCUCAAUCUUGUCUGAUCUUGGAAGUGAUCGAGGGUUAGGCCUGGUUAGUAUCUGGAUGCGAGACUGCCUGGGAAUACAAGGUGUCAUAGGCU
rnacentral:rRNA from 1 species